rnacentral:rRNA from 1 species
UACAGAGGUCCCAAGCGUUGUUCGGAUUCACUGGGCGUAAAGGGUGCGUAGGCGGUCGGGUAAGUCUGAUGUGAAAUCUCACAGCUUAACUGUGAAACUGCAUUGGAUACUAUCCGGCUCGAGGAAUGGAGGGGAGACUGGAAUACUUGGUGUAGCAGUGAAAUGCGUAGAUAUCAAGUGGAACACCAGUGGCGAAGGCGAGUCUCUGGACAACUUCUGACACUGAGGCACGAAAGCUAGGGGAGCAAACAGG